AUAAGUUUAAGCAACUCUCUACGACAUGGAACGUGCGUUUGCUUUGAGCUCCACGGAAUCGUUUCCAAGCCAAAGCAAACCAUCCUGGCGGUCAGAGGCCGAGAUAACGGGAAGGCGGCCAGUCGUACCAAUCAGCAGCGCUCAAGUCUCGUUAGCGCAGACCUGCUGCCCGCGGCCAGGCCGGGCAGCUGUUGAUCCCCGGGCCAUUCUUUUAAAGCCCAGGCAGAGCGCGGGUGGGAAGCGUGCGAGGAGAGCUGAGCCAGGGAGUUGCGGGGAGGAGAAGUCUCUCUCUCUCUCUCUGUUGCCUGCCGCAGGUAAGAUGUGCCUUGCUUCCCCUUCACCUUCUACCAUGAUUGUAAGUUUCCUGAGGCCUCCCCAGCCAUGCAGAACUAUGAGUCAAUUAAACCUCCUUUCUUUAUAAAUACUCAGUCUCUGGUGGUAUUCUUCAUAGCAGUGUGAAAACGGACUAAAACAGAGAAUUGGUACCAAGGUAGUGUGGUACUGCUAUAAAGAUAACUUGAGAACGUGGAAGCAACUUUGGAACUGGAUAACAGGCAGAAGUUGGAACAGUUUGGAAGGCUCAGAUGAAGACAAGAGGAUGAAUGAAAGUUUGGAACUUCCUACAGACUUGUUGAAUUGUUUUGACCAAAAUGCUAAUAGUGAUAUAUGAUAUAGACAAUGAAGUCCGGGCUGAGAUGGUCUCAGAUGGAAAUGAGGAACCUAUUGGGAGCUGGAGUAAAGGUCACUCUUACUAUGCUUUAGCAAAGAGCCUGGCAGCAUUUUGCACCUGCUCCGGAGAUCUAUGGAACUUUGAACUUAAGAGAGAUGAUUUAGGGUGUCUGGCAGAAGAAAUUUCUAAGCAGCAAAGCAUUCAAGAGGUAAUCUGGUUGAUUCUGAAAGCGUUCAGUUACAUGCGCUCACAAAGAGAUGGUUUGAAAUUGGAACUUACAUUUAAAAGGGAAGCAGAGCAUAAAGAUUUGGAAAAUGUACAGCCUGACUAUGUGGUAGAAAUUUUUCUGGGAAGAAAUUCAAGCCAGCUGCAGAAAUUUGCAUAAGUAACAAGGAGCCAAAUGUUAAUCACCAA
rnacentral:lncRNA from 1 species